rnacentral:rRNA from 1 species
AACGAACGCUGGCGGCAGGCCUAACACAUGCAAGUCGAGCGAGGACUUCGGUCCUAGCGGCGGACGGGUGAGUAACGCGUGGGAACGUGCCCUUUGCUUCGGAAUAGCCCUGGGAAACUGGGAGUAAUACCGGAUGAGCCCUUUGGGGGAAAGAUUUAUCGGCGAAGGAUCGGCCCGCGUUGGAUUAGGUAGUUGGUGGGGUAAUGGCCUACCAAGCCGACGAUCCAUAGCUGGUUUGAGAGGAUGAUCAGCCACACUGGGACUGAGACACGGCCCAGACUCCUACGGGAAGCAGCAGUGGGGAAUCUUAGACAAUGGGGGAAACCCUGAUCGAGCCAUGCCGCGUGAGCGAUGAAGGCCUUAGGGUUGUAAAGCUCUUUCAGCUGGGAAGAUAAUGACGGUACCAGCAGAAGAAGCCCCGGCUAACUCCGUG